AGAAUCAAGCAUUUGUUGCCAAACGUAAUGCUCUGCGUUUUUGGGUUCUUCAGUUUUGCAGGUAGAUGAAGUCUUGAAGAUGAAGAAGCUAUGAAAAACUUGUCAUUUUGGUCAUAAUGUAUUUUUUAAGGACUAUUUGAGACAUUAUAUAUGAUUAUGUUUUGGAAAAUUUGUAAUUUGAUCAUACAGUAUUGACUAUUUCAAAUCUUUCAUUUUAUUAUGUUUAUGUUUGAGAAAUUUGUAACCAAGCAAACCUUUAUGGAUUUAUAACUUUCAUGUUAUUAAUUUUAUUAA